AAACGGUUUAAAAAGGGAGAGUCAGUUGGUCAUGACACUUAGGGCUGGCAGUUGCAGGGAAGUUGGUUUCUGAUGGUGAGUUGGGUUGGUGGCUGGAAUUUAGUUGCUGAAAUAUAAAAGAGGAAAAACAAGAUCACCAACAAAAUUGAGUCUUCUCCUGAAGAAGAGGAGGCUGAUUGUUCUGAAGAUAUCUCUUGUCUUCUCCUCCAAGGAAUGAUAAAAUAAAAAGAUCAAGCAGAAAGGAUGCUUAUUGAAGGCAAGGGAUGAAGAAGACAAAAGUGUAUAUGGAAUUGAAAUGCCAAUUGAGAAGAUGUAUGAGAAUUGGAUUUGAAAUUCAUGACCUGGCAUAAAAAUCAUGGAAUGACUCCUGACUCCUAGACAGGAAUUUCUUGGCACAUAACAUAGAUUGAUAAGAAUAUAUUUGCCUAGUAUCCUGAAAAUUUUGUCAAAAGGGUUUUAAAAUCAUAGAUACAAUGAAGGAAUAAAAAUAACAGUUAAGACAUUCAGAAAUUCAUAGGAGACAAAAUCAAAAUAAAAGGGCCAGUAAAAAAUUCUACCUCUCCUUAUGCCUAUUCAUAAAAGUCCCAAGUUUAUGUAAUAAACAAGAUGAACCAUGCAUCCUAAUGUCAGAAGGCCAAUUUGAUCCCAUAGGUAUCUCUGAGAUUUGGAGUAUGAAAUACAAAAUUGGACUCUAGCUCAGGAUGAGUACAGUUUAUUCAAAGGAAAAAGGUAUAUAAAAGGGGAUGAAAUAGCAAUGUAUAUUAAGAAAGUGUACCUGUGAGGAAAUACAGCAAUCAGAUGGGGAUAGACAGAAUUCUGGCGACUCUUUCCUCCUUCUACUUUCCACAUUUUCUUUUGGGAGCAGAAAUUAAAUCAAUUCUAUCAUCACUAUUAGAAAAGGUAUGACAAUCAACUGUCUCAAAAACCUUGUGACAGACUACUGAGACAGAAAGAAGAAAUAGGUAAAGAGUUUGUUGACAGAUCACGAACCUGGGCUAGUGGCAUGAUAUAGUUAUGAUAGGAGACUGCAUCUCUCUAUAUGUCUUUUAGAACUCUCUGAUAAAAGUAGAUCAACUAAUAGGUUUAAAAAAUAGUUUUUUUUACUUAUAUGAAUGGAAAUUCUGCUUUUCAAAAAAUGGGAAAUUGGACAAGGGGAAUUCCUUCUGUAUAUAAUUUUUAUUAAGAGAGAAGAAUGGACCACUAGGGUGAAAACGAUGGGACUGCUGAGUGGAAGUGACCAUUAUCUCUUAGAGUUUAUGAUGUUGUUCAGUUGUUCAGUCAUAUUUGGUUCUUCAUGACCCCAGGAGCCAUUACUUAUCCCUGGGGAUUUUUUGGCAAGAAUAAUAGAGUGGUUUGCUAUUUCCUCCUCCUUUUGUCAGGCAAUCAGAGGUUAAGUGACUUGUCCAGGGUCAAUCAUCUAGGAAGUGUCUGAGGCCAGAUCCAAAUUCAGGUCUUCUUGACUCCAUGCCCAGUGCUGUUAAUCACUGAGCCCCAGUUGGCUCUAGAGAGAAACUAAGAAAACAGGAUAUUCUGACACAUAUCAGAUUUUUAAAAUGUCAUAGAAAAGAUCAGUAGGUUUCUAUGCCCAUCUUCUACCUUUCCUGGCUUCUUUCAAAUCUUAGCUAAAGUCCCAGCUCUUCUUAAUAUUAGUGCCUUACCUCUAAGAUAUUCUACAAUUUAUGCUGUAUAUAUUUUGUUCAUGUUAUUUCUAUGUUGUUUUUCUUAUUAGACUGUGAAUUCCCUGAUAUUUGGGACUGUUUUUGCCUUACCUCAUAGGCCUAGCAGUUAGCACAGUGCCUGGCACAUAAGAGGUGCUUAAUAAAUGAUAGUUGACUGACUAUGAACUAAAUUUUUAUGGGAGAAGUUAGCCAGAGGAGGGAGGGAGGGAAACUCUCAAAAAUGAACAUCUAAAGGCAAAAUAGAAAACAAUUCUAAUAAAGAGGAAAAGCGGGAGUUGUCUGAGAAGAUGUGCCCUUAGGGAACUCACCAAACAACUUAGAUUAAAAUAGAGGAUGUGUAAAGUAUGUGUAGAAUAUGGGAUCAAGGGCAGGUAACAGAAUGAAUAUUUGUGUGACAAGGUAUUUUUAAAAUAGCAGCAGGGUGCUAAAGCUCAAAAUGAGCUGAAUCUGGCAAAGAAAGUGAAGGACAACAAAAAGAAUUGUUAGUUAAGAGAAGGGAUUUUUUUUUUAAGCUAUGUUGGGGAAGGGGAGAAUCAAAGAAGGGGUUGAAUCAUUGCUUUGGUUGCCUAGGAGGAUGAUUACUGACAACAGAGAAAAGGCUGAGCUACUCAAUUUGUAGUUUGUGUUUGUUUUCUCUCCAAAGGAAAAUGACCUUUGGAUCAGAGAUGACUGGAACAAAAAUGGCUAGCAGGGAGGUCAUACCCAAUAGGAAUAAAGACAUACUAAAUGAGUACCGAGUUGUCCUUGAUGCACUCAAAUCACCUGGCUCAGAGGAACUAUUUCCUUUGCUACUUAAAGAAUGUUGUUCAGUCAUUUCAGUUAUGUCUUACUCUUUAUGACCUCAUUUUGAGUUUUCUUGGCAAAGAGACUGGAGUGGUUUGAUAUUUCUGACUCUAGCUCAUCUGACAGAUGGGGAAACUGAGGCAAUCAGGGUUAAAUGACAUGCCCAGACUAAAAUAGCUAAUUAGUCUGAUUUGAAAUCAGUAAAAAUGAAUUGUUCUGAUUUCAGGAUUGGCCCUCUACUAAGCCACCUCACUGUCCCCUGAGAAUGGAUGGAUGUUAAUGAUGAACAAGAAUCAAUAGGAGUUGAAAGACUGGAAAAUAGGAGCAAGGGUACAGGAUCUGAUAAAGACAAAUGUCUUGAAUUUCAAAAAAGAGAAGAGAAUAGAGCCUGAAAACUACAGAACAAUUAGUUUGACUUUAAGGGCAGGCAUAAUUGUAGAAUGAGUCAUUAAUGAGAUGCUUAGUGAACAUAAAGAGCCAGUAGUUUUAUCAAGGGCAGAUUAUACUAGGACUAAUCUUACUCUUUGAGCUGCCCCUCUAAAUUGGUAAAUGAAGAAUAGAUCAAAAUAUCACUGCUGAUAUUUAACUUGGAUUUUAGCAAAGAAUUUGAUGGAAUAUCUCAUACUAUUCAUAUGGGGAAAGAUGGAAAGAGAUGAUUUGGCAUUCGUUGAAUGGUAAAGAAUGUCUUCAUGGUUAGAUGUCAUCUUUUCAGAAGCUCUUUAGAGCAAUCCUUAGAGAUCUAUUUUUGGCUCUCUGUUGCUUAAUACUUUUAUCAGUGACUUGCUAAAGCAAUAGAAAGUAUGCUUAUCAUAUGUGUAGAUGCCAUAAAGACACAAGUGGUAACAGACAUAUUGGAAAGGAGUCAGGAUCCAAAAAGAUCUUCUUGGGUUAGAACACUGGCCAACUCUUCUAAAAUGGAAUUAAAUAGGAACAAAUAUAAAGUCUUAUACUUGGGUUCAAAAAUCAGCUUCAUAAAUACAAGAUGGGGGAGGCAGAAUUAGAUAUUAUUUGUCUAAAAAGGGGCAGCUAUCUGGUGUAGUAAGUAGGUAGUAUGCUGGACCUGAUGCCAAGAGACUCAUCUUCAUGAGUUCAAAUGUGGCCUCAGAUACUUCCUAUGUGACCCUGGACAAGUCACUUACUUAACUCUGUUUGCUUCAGUUUCCUCAUUUGUCAGAUGAGCUGGAGAAGGAAAUGGUAAACCACUCUAGUAUCUUUUCCAAGAAACCCCCCAAAUGGGAUCAUCAAGAGUAAGACAUGACUGAAAUGACCGAACAACAUUCUUUCAGUAGCAAAGAUAAUAUUUCCUCUGAGCCAGAUGAUAUGAGUGCAUCAAGGGCAGCUCGGUGCUCAUUUAGUAUGUCUAGAGUUGGAGACAACUAAAAAAAAUGGCAACAAUAGUUGUCUAAAGAAAAUUUUGGAAGUUAUAAUAAUAAUGAUGAUGAUGACAAUAAUUUAUAUAGUGGUCAGUAUGUGCCAAACACUGGGUUAAGUGUUUUACAACUAUCAUCUUAUUUGAUCCUCACAACAAUCCUGAGAGAUAAGUGUAAUUUGUUAUGGAUCUACACAGUACAAUGAGGCAGCUAAGUGGUACAGUGUGACAGACCUGCAGUCAGGAAGUCUCAUUUUCCUCGAGUUCAAAUCCAGUUUCAGAUACUUAAUAGCUGUGUGACCUUGUCAAGGUGCUUAACCCUAUUUGUCUCAUCUGUAUGUCUGCAUCAUCUGUACAAUGAGCUGGAGAAGGAAAUGGCAAAUCACUCCAGGAUCUUUGCCAGGAAAACUCCAAAUGGGGUCACAAAGAGUCAGACAUGACUGAAAAAUGACUAAACAAUAAAAACCAAGCAGUCCAAUAUGACAGCCAUAAAAUCUAAUGUGAUCUUGGGCUGCUUUGAGAGGGAGAACUUCUGAGAACAAGAAGGUGGUAGAUCCUCUUUGUAUUGUUUUAGUCAGACUUCACCUGGAAUAUUGUCUCCAGUUCUUGGAGAUAUAAAUCACAAUUUAUGAAGGACAUUGAUAGGCCAAAGAAUGUCCAGAGGAGAUUGACCAGAAUGGUGAAGAACCUUGAACCCAAGGUUCAUAAGAAUCCUUUGAAGGAGAUGAUUCCAGGGGAAGAAUAUGAUUGCAGUCUCGCCCAGAGGACAGAACUUUGGAGCAAUGUGUGGAAGUUGCAAAAAGGCACAUUGAGUUUUAAUAUCAGGAAAAAAAACCUUCCUAAGAAUUAUUGCUAUGUUGAUUGGGUUUCUUCAAGAGGUGGUGAGUUUUCUCUUUGGAUGUAUUAGAGCAGAAGCUGGAUGACCACUUAUUGGGUAUUCCUUUUCGGAAUUCCUUUUUGGGUUUGUGUGAUUCUGGUUGGUAACACUAGCUCAUAGCUAGUAUUUUACAUAGUCUUCCAUGUGCCAGGCACUAUCAUAAGUACUUUAUAGAUGUUUCAUCUAUAUUCCAUCUAUAUUCCAAUAUUCCAUCUAAAAUUUCAAUUAAAAUUCUGUGAUACCAAACAAUUGGAAAACAACUGCACCUAGCAGUAUAGUAUAGAGAGUAAUUCAACCUGGAAUCUGGAAGACCUGAAUUCAAAUCCUCCCUUAGAUAUUUACUACUUCUGUGACUCUGGGCAACUUACUGAACCUCUCACAGCCUCAGGUUGAUUAUAUGUAAAAUAGGGAUAGUAAUAGCAUCAACUCCAAAGGUUUGUUAGGAUAAAAUGAGAUAAAAUGUAAAGCAUUUUGCUAUAUAAAUGUGACCUAUGAUUAUGAAUUAUCUUAUAGGAUGGCAUAUGAAUAUAUUAGUUUCUCCUUGUUACUUCCUUCUAUUUUAGAUGUCCAGGUCAUAUUUCCAUAUUUCCUCUAUGCAUGUGUGUGUAUGUGCGUAUGUGUGUGUAUGUGUGCAUGUGUGUGUGUGCUCUCAGGGGAAUGGUUGAAGAAGUGUCAUUUGUCAGGGCUUUUGGAGGUUAAGUAGCCCAGAAUUAGGGCAAAUAGACUCCAGGGGAAUUAGUCAGUGACAAGGUUAUUGUGCAGAGAUUCAGCUCCUGGCUGUGUAUCUGGCCAGACUAAAGACUCCCCUUUCCUGCCAAGGACAUCCUUGCUCCAAGGAUUGAACCUGGGGUUUAUAAAGGUAGUUCUUUUUGACAAUUUCAGGAGAAUCCUCAUUAACCAUUCUAGUAGACAAGAUAAGAAUUUAUGUAGUAGAUGUCGUCUCUACCAUUCUACUCCCUUCUCAGCUCUCUCUCUCUGGCCUGUCCUACCUAUAUACUUGCUGCCUUGACCCUGAAGGGUGAUCUUUCCCUCUUCCAUCUUCCCUUUCUAUGUUGUCUUCUCUCCAUUAGGAUAUAAGUCUCUUGAAAGGAGGAACCCACUAUUUUAUAUCUUGGAUGAUUAGCACAAUGUCUGACAAAAAGUAAUAAAUGCUCUCUCCAUCCCAUCCAUCUAUCCGUCCAUCAUCCAUCAUCCAUCCAUCCAUCUAUCCAUCUAUCUAUCUAUCUAUCUAUCUAUCUACCCAUUUAUUUAUCUCUCUCUCUCUCUCUCUCUCUCCCUAUCUAUUUACUUAUCUGCUGAUAGGUGGCUGAAAAUAAUAACAAUGAUAAUAGUUAACAUUUAUAUAGUGCUUUCUAUGUUCCAGGUACUGUGCUAAGUGCUUUAUUAUUAUUAUCUCACUUGAUCCUUCCAAUAAUUCUGGGAGGUAGGUGCUGUUAUUAACCCCAUUUUGCAGGACAUUCAGGUAAUUAGAGGUUAAAUGAUUCUCUGAGAAUAACAUAGCUUGUAAGUAUCUGAGGCUGAUUUUGAACUCAGAUCUUUCUGAUUCCAGGCCUGGAGUUCUAGCCAUUGUGCCACCUAGUUAUCUCAAGUAGAAAUGCAAUCUUUAAAAGUCAAGAUCAGUUAAAAAAACCAUUUAUUAGCAUAUAUGUGCUAGCACAUAUGUGCCAGACGCUAUUCUAAGUUCUGGGGAUAUAAUUAUAAGUAAAAAAAAGAGAUAGUCCCUUCCCUUAAGGAACUAAUAUUCUAAUGGAGGAAGACCAUAUAUAAAAGGAAGGAAGGGGACAGAAAGGGCACACCAACCACCCUUUAUGGAGGCAUGGUAGAGAAAGUUCAACAGAUUCAGGAGUAUAACCUGGAGAGAUAUGAGAUAUCACUGCCCUGGGUACCCUUCCUAUGUGGAGGUUUGGGAAGAAGUUAUCCAAUUAAAGAUAGAGUGGCAGUGAUGGAAGAUAUAUUCAACAUGUGAAUUCCUGGGCUGGAGUGAUCUUCCAGGAUGAAGAGGUUUCUGGGAUAUGGUAGUGUAGACUGGAAAGGAGUGAAGGGUCAUGCAUAUGAGUGUUGGAAUUACCGAGAGCAAUAGAAAGGGAUGUGUGGAAAAAGUAUGGAUUAUUUCAGUCUACUUUCUCCUUCAAAGAAAGUACAUGAGUAUCCUGGUGUUUGGUAGAUAGUGAUGAGAAAGAGAAAAAGAGGGCAAAAUAAACAGAUUUAAUUUCAAUAGCACAGGAGUUUUGUUUUUUCUUCUUAAUACUUCCCAUAACCUCUCUUCUCUUCCCUUCCUCUCUCCUGUAGUGGAAGCCUUCCCUUAUAAGAGAUAUGUUUGGUUAAGGAAAAACCAAUACACUGGUCAUUUCUAAAAUGCAUAUUUCAUUCUACACCAUCAGUCUCUCACUACUCUUCCAACGGACUGGAGCUAUUUUUCAUCAUCAACCAUUAGCCAUGUGACUUUGGAGAAGUCAUUUACCUUAUCUAAUCCUCAGUUUCCUUACCUGUAAAAGGAAUAUAAUAAUGUCUUCCCCCCCCCCCCCUUAUUUCAUGGAGUUUUGGUGAGACUCAAAUGACACAAUGCUUAUAAAGUGCUCAAUUAACUGUAAAGCACAAUGUCAUGUUUACAGCUAUUGCUUUGACACUGACAUUCCUGUUCUAGCAUCUUGCUAGAAUGUGGCGAUUAUUCCAGAAAAGCAACUUAUUGGCUUUAACUGAUAUUUUUGAAACAGAAUCCAAUGUGUUUGUUUAAAAGAUGAAACCCAAAGGGAAGUUUUGGGUUUUUUCCUUCAAUUUUUAAGGGAUCAUUAGUUUUAGAGUUCUAAGUUGAGCAAAUCUUCACCUUUCUUUUCACUGAGGGUAAGACAAUAAGGAAAUAAUUGUUCUACAAAAAAAAAAAUUCCCCAAAAGUUAUCAUUUGAAUCCCCCACAAUUCUAUGAACUUAAAUUUGUAUACAUUUAUUUUUCAAACAUAAGAGUUUCUCAGAAUGAGGAUUAAUAUGGCUUAAUAAGUAGGGAGGGACCUGUUCCUAAUAUCAGGAAAAUCAUGGUUCUACCCUUGGAUUAAGAAUAGCUAACAUCCAUAUAGUACUUACUAUGUGUGAGGCACUGUGCUAAGCAUUUUACAAUUAAUAUCUCAUUUGAUCCUCACAAGUACCCUGAGAGAUAGCAGCUAUUAUUAUCCCCAUUAUGCAGAUGAGCAAACUGAGGCAAAUGAAAAUUGAGUCUUCCUGACCCCAGGUCCAGCUCUAUCCACUGUAUCAUCUAGCCAUAUCAAUCUGGUACAUACCAGUCAUAUGAGCCUGAGCAGGUCAUUUAACCACAGUGCCCUGGGUCACUCUCAAAGACUGUCACUUACAGAAAAGAUAAUGAUUGGUCUUCAUUGACAGAAGAAGUUCCUUAGUAGUAGCUCCUUUAAUGAAUAAAAUUACAGGUCUGGAAAAAAAUGGAUUUUUACAUUAAAUAUACUUAAUUAUACAUGUUUUAUAACUUUGAAAACUAAAGAUGUGACUUUGAGUAUCUACUGUCUGACCACUCCCUCUUUGGCUUUUUCCACAGCAUAAUCAUGUGAUUGAUGAGAUGGAUGUUUAGCAAUUCCUUUAGGCCUGUUGACAUAUUUUCUUUCCCACUUAAGUAAAGUUUACACUUCAAGCUGACUUGAAACAUUGUGUUGAGCACAGUAACAAUUCGGUUAUUGUUCAAGUGACCCUGUAUCUGUUAUUGAUCUUUUUUGUGGCUUAAUUUUCACUCUUUUGUAUAAACUUUGAAGACCUCUAUUUAUUUUUGGGAAAGAUUUUUGUGUGUCUUUUCCACAUUUGUAACAGUAGCACAUAAUACUUGUGGGUCUAGAAGUUACUCUUAUUACUUUGAUUUAUUCAGUUUCAUAAUUAUUGUCAUUGGCCCAAUUGUUGUUUGCUAUAAUAGCCAUGAGACAAGUAGGUGGUGUGGUGGAUAGAGUGUCAAUCCUGGAGUCAGGAAGACUCAUCUUCCUGAGUGCGAAUCUGACCUCAGACACUUCCUACCUGUGUGACCCUGGGCAAUUCAAUGAAUCCCAUUUGCCUCAGUUUUCUUAUCUGUCAAAUGAGAUCGAGAAAGAAACAGCAAAUCACUCUAGUGUCUGCCAAGAAAACCCCUAAUGGGGUUAUGAAGUUGAGUACUACUGAAAUGACUCAAUAAUAACAAUAAUAGUCAUCUAUUUGAGGGAUAUAAUAUGAUGUAAUAGAAAGAACAUUACUUUAGAAUUAAGAAGACUUGGGAUCAUAAGCUUAAUUUCAGUACCUUUUAGCUGUGUCAUUGGACAAAUUACUUGUAUGAAACUCAGUUUACUUCUCUGUAAAAUUAAUAUAAUAAUGCUUGCUUCAAAAGUUUGAAAGGGAAGCUCUUUAUAAAACUUGUGCUGUUUUUAAUAAAUGGCAAUAUCCUUAAUACUUAAUUUAUAACAAGAAGUAAAUAUCAUUACCUUUCAGGAAUUAAGCUAUUUUUCUUACUGAAGUACUUAAACAUUGGCUAGAGACUGCCUGGGGUGGAUGAGUACAUGGAAAGGGGGAAGGAAAUAUAUAGAAUCAUAAAGAAUUAUGAGAUUUAGAACUAGAAGGUACCUUAGAGAUCAUUUAAUCUAUCCCCUUUCUAUUUGACAGAUGAGAAAACUAAAUCUCAGGGGAAGAAGUGACUUUCCUGCACUGUGUCAAACUUCAAGAAGAGACAUGUUGGGAACCAAAACAAUGUUCUUCUUCCAUAAAUGAGGCCUGGACCUUGCACAGCAAUUUAUUGGCAAAUCAGGACAGGAGACAGCUGGAGGAAGCAAGAAGGAAUGGUUUCUCUGUCCCUCUAGAUGGGAAAAGUCCCUUGCCAGAGGAAAACGUCAGCCAAAGAGACUGCCACAAGAUGAAAUAAGGUGAAGUGAGUUUCCCAAUGUCAUACUGCUCAAAAGUAACAAAGUCAUGAUUUAAUUCUAGGUCUUCUAAAGCUAGUACUUUUCCUCACUAUUCA